rnacentral:misc_RNA from 1 species
AAGUCGUAACAAGGUUUCCGUAGGUGAACCUGCGGAAGGAUCAUUAACACGUAUCCACGUAUCAACCCCUUGUGCUUUUUUACGUUUUGGUUACCCUGUCUUGAGUGAUUACCCCUUUUGGGUUUGUGCGGGGAGGGAAUGGACUGCUUCGGCAGUGGCUCGCACAGACUGUUGUUUGACGCAAGUCAACAUCGGGGUUUUCGCUCUACCGUACAGGGAUUUUAUUUCAUGUAACCAUUCUACAUGAGCCUUUAUUACACCCAUAAACCCCUUUGUAACUUAUCUUGCUAACGCAAUUUGAAGCCGCUGAAUGAACGCUCUCUUUGAGCUGAAGUUCGGUACUUCAUGAUUACGAAAUGCUUGACAACUCUUAGCAACGGAUAUCUUGGUUCUC